UUUCUCCCACUUUUUCAUCAGAGACAAACGCACACUUACGUAACGGACAAUUGAACUGCCCCUUUUCCAUCCUCACUUGUGUUUGCAUCGCACGACGGAUCGAGAUAUUGAGUGACCAGAUGAAAGGGGAACGAACUCAAUUUCCUAAAUUUGAUACCAUCACCGGCUAAAAAUCAUCGUAUCAUUCAAAGAUCUCAAGUUACCCAGAUCAGAGUGAUGAUGGCAUUUGUAUGGCACCAGUUUCAGCUCAAUGGUAUGCUGCAUUUCGUAUAACCUGGACAAGAUAUCUGCUUUACAAAGAUGUUAAUAGGAAUCCAGAGUGACCGCAUUGAACCGCCUUUAAUUUAAUAAAUUUUAAUGAUAUGAUUCCGCCGGUGAUUAUGUUGAAGCAAAUUACAAAUUUCUGUGGGCUGUACACAUUAACAGAAUUAAAAUAGUGAUUAGUUAAUACAGUAUUGAUUAGUUAUGCUAA